AACAAGCGUUAUCCGGAAUCAUUGGGCGUAAAGCGUCCGCAGGUGGCUGUUCAAGUCUGCUGUUAAAGACAGAAGCUCAACUUCUGAAAAGCAGUGGAAACUGGACGGCUAGAGUACGGUAGGGGUUGAGGGAAUUCCCAGUGUAGCGGUGAAAUGCGUAGAUAUUGGGAAGAACACCAGUGGCGAAGGCGCUCAACUGGGCCGUAACUGACACUCAGGGACGAAAGCUAGGGUAGCGAAAGGGAUUAGAUACCCCUGUAGUCUUAGCUGUAAACGAUAACACUAGGCGUUGCUUGUAUCGACCCGAGCAGUGCCGUACCAACGCGUUAAGUGUUCCGCCUGGGGAGUACGCACGCAAGUGUGAAACUCAAAGGAAUUGACGGGGGCCCGCACAAGCGGUGGAGUAUGUGGUUUAAUUCGAUGCAACGCGAAGAACCUUACCAGGACUUGACAUCUCGAGAACUGAACCUAAUAGUUCAGGUGCCUUAGGGAACUCGAAGACAGGUGGUGCGUCAGCUCGUGUAUGGCUGUC
rnacentral:rRNA from 1 species